AGCAGCCGCGGUAAUUCCAGCUCCAAUAGCGUAUAUUAAAGUUGUUGCAGUUAAAAGCUCGUAGUUGAAUUUCGGGAUCAAUAUAUCGGUCGUGCCUUGGUACGUACUGGUAUCAUUGGUUUCUCCUUUCUGACGAACCAUGAUGUCAUUAAUUUGGUGUUAUGGGAAGUUAGGACUGUUACUUUGAAAAAUUAGAGUGUUUAAAGCAGGCUUUAGCUUGAAUACAUUAGCAUGGAAUAAUGAAAUAGGACGUUCGAACCUAUUUUGUUGGUUUCUAGGAUCAACGUAAUGAUUAAUAGGGAUAGUUGGGGGCAUUAGUAUUCAAUUGUCAGAGGUGAAAUUCUUGGAUUUAUUGAAGACUAACUACUGCGAAAGCAUUUGCCAAGGAUGUUUUCAUUAAUCAAGAACGAAAGUUAGGGAUCGAAGACGAUCAGACACCGUCGUAGUCUUAACCAUAAACUAUAGCCGACUAGGGAUCGGGAUGAUGUUAAUUUUUAAUGUACUCAUUCGGCGCCUUACG
rnacentral:misc_RNA from 1 species